rnacentral:ncRNA from 2 species
GUCCUGAGUAGAGGUGCGCCAAGCAUCAGUAACAGUCAAUAGGGUGAUGCCGUUGACGGGCUGUGAAAGGGUAUUGGCGCCGAAGUGGAUGUGUGUAUCACCGCCUUCCGCUGGGGUCGUUUUCGAAAGAAACGGCACUGCCAUAGUAUUUUCUGUCGGGAUGACAGAUGUUGUAUUUACUAUGGAGCGCUACUGAUAGG